rnacentral:lncRNA from 1 species
GGUGGCUUCUCUCCCUUAGGUGGUUUGCCAACUGGGGUUGGUGGCUUGUGUUCUGGGAGUGGCUUCUCCCCCUUGGGAGGUUUUUCCAAUGGGGUUGGUUUGUGUUCAGGAGGUGGCUUCUCCACUGGAGGCUUGUGUUCAGGAGGUGGCUUCUCCACCGGAGGCUUGUGUUCAGGUGGUGGCUUCUCCACCGGAGGCUUAUGCUCUGGUGGUGGCUUCUCGAAUGGGGGAUGCUUAGGAUAAUCAGCAAGUGAGGGGGCGGUGAGAACCACCAGGCCAAGCAACACCACUAGCAAAUAUGUAGGAGACAUCUUUGGGUUUGGGCUCAGAUGGUGCAAAACUAGGAGAAUUGGCUAGCCUUUUAUAGCGGAUCGUACCCAAUAAUGAAAUGACACGUGUCAUUAUGACCCAUGUGUAAUGGGGUCGAUUUGGGUCCUACAGUGUUGAAAACUUCGACAUCCACUUUUGGCCUUUUGCUUUCUCUACAGCCGCCUUGCUUUUUCCCUCUUUCCUUUUGUUUUCCUCCUGCCCCAUUCUAUCAACUAAACACAAUUAUGUAGUUGUUUAAUUCUUAAAUGAGAUAUUAUCCGUCAAUCGUAUUAUAUUUUAUCAAGAGAGAACGGAGUGCAAUGUGGCUGUAAUUUUAUCGUUUAGUUUUAUCUCUUGGACCACUGCAUUUUUGUUAAGAGGUGCAAUAAUACACGUCUUUAUCUGCCAUUCAAUAUUUACAGUAAAGAGAGGGCACAAAACUCUUCACUUCGCACCAUAAUUAUUUUGUUUUCUGGACACCCCGGGGCCCUUUGGUUGGUUUGGGGGUCAGAAAGUGAACAUCAUAGGGGGUUUUUCCCUUAUGUGCAUUUGUAUCUGAUGGCUUUAACUCGCCUUGUUACUACAAAGAAACUGUCACAGAUAGGAACUUAUUCCAGGCUGAGUAUCUCCUCAUAGACCCUAUAAAAGAAGACAAGUCAUAAUGAACAUCUAACCUUUGUUCAAUUUGAUUCAAUGCCCCCAUUGUGUCCAUCUCACAAAUCUGAAUUAUUAUAUCCAUUGAAUACAUAAAUUAAUGAAGAAAAUAUGAAACCCAAGAUACAUCUCUGCACAACCUCAACCCUGGUUGCUAUGUUUCCCUUCUAUUCACAUGAUUUGAUGCUAAUUGCCAAACUUGCAACAAGCCCUGAGUUUGACACCUAGUAUCGAUGGGCGAAUUUAAAGUCUCCUCCAAACAUAUAUUCCACAGCUUGAAGCUCACAGAAGAUGUUACAGGCAGGGAAAAACCUUCAGAGUUCGCUACCAAAGAUAAUUAUUAAGGAGAUAUCACAAAGAGAAUUCCAAGGGGUCUGAAUCAAAGACAAAUUGGUCGUUCGUGGGGGUUCUUACUUUCUUUUGGGUAUAACUCACUGAGGGCACUGUCUUUGUUAUUUGCAUUUCACAUUUAGAGUUCUGUUCUGGAAACAUAUAAAAGGAGCAUCAUUUUGUUCUUGGGUAACCCAUAGUCGUGAGUGGGUCCAUUUGCAUGCUACUUAGUUGAAAAGUUGGACCAUUUGCUCCGACGCCUACCUCCCGGAUUCCAUGCUCGGAUAAAACAAGAAUAAAAAAAAUAUUUAUAAUUUACAAAUGGGGGAAAGAAAAAAAUGUCAACAACAAACCAGGAAAAAAGAGUAGUAAAAUUCAUGUCACAUGCUAGUGAGAGAAGGGGUUGUUACACUCACUCGAAGUUCUUUCCAAAAUAUCGCAUGGUAUUUUAUUUUAUGUGUCAGCGCAGUUGUGAAUGGAACGUGCAAAAGUCCAAAUUGGCGUUUUUCCUUUUCCCGUGUAGGAUGGCGACCUUUAAUAAAUAUUUAAAACAAAAAACGAAAAAAAGGAGGGAAAAGGGAUCAGAAAAGAUAAAACAAUGUGUACAAGAGCUCAAUUAGUUUGCAAAUUACUGUUUGGAUUUUGAUAGUAUUUUAUUUGUCCAUCUAUAUUUGAUGGAAAAGAGAAUUUAAGAUAUUUCUGAAACAAAAGCAUUAGUGUAAAACUAAAUUAAGGUAUAAUUAAGUUAGUUCAAUGCAUUAAUUUAAGAAACUUGAUCUAUCCAAAGUACAAAAUUAGAUGAAAUCCAUUUCAAUGGUUAAAAUGAUCAAAAUCAAACUUUUUCUAAGUAUUUUUUAAAAGCAUCAAUAUUAAAAGACAAUUUUAUAUUUAGUCGGAGUUUGGACAAAACCAAAAAGCACACAAAAUCCAAGCGACCAUCUCUAGCUUGGAUAGUCACUUGAUCCCACCUAGAGAUGUGCAUGAGUAAAAGGAUUUGAAAAUGGAAAUUGACUAAAUAUUUAGUUGAUCAAUUAAAUUUGCAAUGUCAUAUGCAAUCCUAAUAGCUAGUCAUCUAAUCAAUUAGGUAGUCAAUCAAGUGUUUGUAAUGACUAUUUUGUACAAAAAACCACAUGUAUAGUUAAAUAUAAUGCAUUUCAUUUAUAAAUCUUCUAAUUCUUGAAUAACGAUCCUAUCAUCCUUUGAAAAUUUUUAUUACACCUUUUUUACUUUUGUUCUAAAACUUACAUAUCACCCUUAAUUGUACCAUGAGAACCUAGCUAUUUUUUUUUUUUUUGUAAUUCAUCAAAGUUAGCUUUUGUAUUCAUUGUUGUAUUAUUUUUAGUAUAACUUAGAAAGCUAGUGUUUUCAAGUGAGUAAAAUUAACUUGUAAAUAUUGUAAAGAUUCAUUGAUAUGUAUCUUAAACUAAGUGUACAAAUUAAAACAUUUGCUAGUAGAUUUUCUCAAAAUUUAGAAUAGAGCUUGAGGCUAUUGAAAUAGGUGGGGUUACACCAAACCACAUCACAUCGUUGUUUGCACCUUUUUUCACUCUCUUUUACUUAGUUUCUCUAUAUUUGUUGUCUAGUAAUAUCCUAUAGGCUUGAUGGGUUAGGGAGCAUCCCUUUGUGAAAAAAUUUCAUUCAAUUCUUAGUUGUAUUACGCAUAUAUAAAAUGCCUCAUUGUUUUAAUGGUAUUCAGUCGUGGCAUCACAGAUAUGGGCAUCUAAAUUUUAAAAGUUUGAAACUUUUGUAAAGCAUGUUGAUAAAAUCCAUGAGAGUUGUGUACUUGGGAAGCAACAUCGAGGUGACUUUAUUUUUUUUUCCUUUUAUAAUGCCACACCUAAGUCCGGUUUCUAAAUGCUAAAGUGAAAGGGUAGGUAUGGACCAUUGAAAUGUGAUCACAACUUUUGGCCUUUUCCUUUCUCUGCAGCCAUGUUGUCUCUUUUUUCUUUUGCAUGAUUUUCUUACCAAAACAGAAUCAUAGACUUGUUUAGUCUCUAAGCUACUAUAUUAUAUCUCGGUGGACUUUUAAGAGUGCAACCGACAUAGAGCACAUGCAAGUGGGCAUAUGGGACAUGAAAUUUCUUCUUACAAAGAUUGCAUGAUUUUUAUAUUAGAGUUGUUCACGUGCAAUGUAUUUAGCUUGUUUUGCAGUUAAAUUAAUUGGAUAAGUAAACAUUGGCAUUUCUAAAUCGACUGUGAAGUGCUUCAUGUACGUGUAAAGUAUUAGAAAUUUCUUUCUUGGCAACUUGUUUUUUCCUUGCCAUCUACUGGUAGGUUUGACUAAAAUUAUAUUCCCUGUCAUGCUAAUUAAUUUUCAUGUGCAUGCUCAAAAGAAGAGUAUGACCUUAGUGCACCAAAAUCACUUUGAUUAAUUUGUGAUAGGUUUUUUUGCAUCAUUUAGAUAAUGUUUAGUUCUAAGAAAAAUUUAUAUAAAAAUGGUUUAUUUAUCUUACAUAUAUAUAUAUAUAUAUAUAUUUUUUUUUUUUUCAUUUUUUUUUCUUCUAUUUUAUUUAUUUAUUUUAUUUUCCUUAUGUUUUCCUCACAUUUUCCGGAACUAAACAUAGUCUUACGAAAUCAACAAUUGCCUUCAACUGAGUAGAUUCUGUUGUUUUAGCAAUGUUAGGCUGCUAACUUGUGGUGGUACGAACCAAAUGACCCAUGUUAAUCUUGGCUUGGUUUGAUUUGGCUCUAUCUCAGAGAGCUAAAGGAUCACGUCAACUCUGGUUUCUACUAUUCAGGUCCAUUCCCAGAUGAACUGGUUCAAAUUUGAGAAAAUGGUAACAGACCUUUAGUGAUGUUGGUUUGGAGCCAGUUGCCAAACCCGCCCUGAGCUUUACCACUAAUGUCAAGGGAGAAAGCCAUUUGAACAAAAACAAUAGCUUCAAGAGACUGAAUCGUGGAUGAAAUCUGAUCCACAUUUCUUCUCAUUUUGGGAAAAAAUGAGAACUUAACUACAAAGAUUCUACUGCCUCAUUCAUAGUGCUUUUCCUGAUCCAAGGUUGGUUCGUUUCCCAAAUUGUGAGGUGCACGUGCCACUCUCACGCUCAGGAGUGUAUCCACGUGGUGGACAUCAGAUGGUGGCUUAAUAUCUGGUGUCGGUGGCUUUACUUUACUAGGAGAGUAGUGUGUCUUCAUCUCAUUCACUGCCGGAGGGUGGCGUAAGCAGUGACGCUAAGGUGGGGCACAGUCAAUAUCAUUUGCAUUUGACCAUUAUAGUUUUCUCCCGGCUUGAAAGUAACCUUAUCGUGAUAAAGGAUUACUAGCACUAGUUCAGAUGACCGUCAUGUUAAUUCGGACCAUGUUUGUGUCACAUUAUCAGCAACCAUGUGUUUAUGGUUCAUGCUAUCUGCAACUAAACUUGAUAUAUAACCAGGUGAACUUCAAUCAAAAUUCUGGAAGUACUCUUGUGAUAGAUGGUGCCUGUCUGCAGAGUCCAUCAAUUGAAAAAUGGAGUGAGUGUAUCUAUAAGAGGGAAGGCUUGGCAAAUGUUCAGUUUUCUGGGAAUUCAACAAGGAUCUAAAAUAGAUUGUUUUCUUUGCCGACUUCAAUGGUUGAAAUUUGAGAAGAUUGUGUCCACAUAUCACAACUAUUACUGGUCCUUCUGUUGCAAUUUAUCCUGUAAGGCUCUAACAUGUCUUCCAAUUCCCACUUCCCUGUUACUCCAGGAAAGCUAUUUCUGUCAUUGUGAAGAAGAAAAGAGAAUGUACAUAUCGAUGCUUUUAAGUGACUGGAGCAUUCAUAUCAGGUGGUCUGCAGCCAUAUAUGCCACUUUGUGAAGGUUGGAACAGUCAAUCACUAGGCUAUAUAUUGGUGUGGCCCAGCCACUUCAAUCAAGGACAAGUCUUCAUACUUAAAGUCAAAUUCUGCCUUUAGUCUCAUUAUAAAUUGCUGUUUAAAUAUUAAGCAAACUUUUGUUUAAUGCGAUUAAGACAGUACUAACUCAAUACUUGUUCUAUUUUUGGAUGCAAAUGCUUGAUGGUUUCAUCAUUGGAUGGGAUAAAGGUGCAUUCAUGAUUAUGAAUACUUGUAGUUAUAUUUUCAUUCUCUUUUUUCUCAAUGAGACUUGUUGGCACAAUGUUGCUGUUCAGAAACCUACCUCUCCAUGGAAAAUAAGUUGCGAUUGAUAGUACUGGAUAUGUUCAAGAAAGCUAAAUAUAGAUAGCACAAAAUAUUAUCGAUAUAAAUAGCAUUAACAGCGUACGUAUGUCUCAAUGCUCAUCAGCUAUAAGCAUGGGACAAACACUUACUAUGAGCAACUUACGUCAAAAUUCCAGAAUAGGACAUAGAAGUGACAGAUCUAUAUAUAUAGAACACUGCAUAUGAGUCACAAGAAAGGAAAUUACGGGUGCAUAGCAGCUCUUAUUUUACAUACUACUACUCAUACUGAUCAAAGUCACUCAGUUGGGAUGGGUGGGAGUAGGAGGUUUGUGGGGUGGCUUGUGCGGAGGAGUUGGCAGCUUCUUUCCAGGACCUGGUUGCUUCUCUGCUGGAGUUGAAGGAGGCUUAAUCUUCCGAGGUGGCUUGUAUGAGUCUUCAGCAUUCUCAGCUGGAGGGUGACCAGGGUUGUGACCAUAAUGUGGUGGCUUCUCUCCCUUAGGUGGUUUGCCAACUGGGGUUGGUGGCUUGUAUGAGUCUUCAGCAUUCUCAGCAGGAGGGUGACCAGGGUUGUGACCAUAAUGUGGUGGCUUCUCUCCCUUAGGUGGUUUGCCAACUGGGGUUGGUGGCUUGUGUUCUGGGAGUGGCUUCUCCCCCUUGGGAGGUUUUUCCAAUGGGGUUGGUUUGUGUUCAGGAGGUGGCUUCUCCACUGGAGGCUUGUGUUCAGGAGGUGGCUUCUCCACCGGUGGCUUGUGUUCAGGAGGUGGCUUCUCCACCGGAGGCUUAUGCUCUGGUGGUGGCUUCUCCACCGGAGGCUUAUGCUCUGGUGGUGGCUUCUUGAAUGGGGGAUGCUGAGGGUAAUCAGCAAGUGAGGGGGCGGUGAGAACCACCAGGCCAAGCAACACCACUAGCAAAUAUGUAGGAGACAUCUUUGGGUUUGGGCUCAGAUGGUGCAAAACUAGGAGAAUUGGCUAGCCUUUUAUAGCGGAUCGUACUCAAUAAUGAAAUGACACGUGUCAUUAUGACCCAUGUGUAAUGGGGUCGAUUUGGGUCCUACAGUGUUGAAAACUUCGACAUCCAGUUUUGGCCUUUUGCUUUCUCUACAGCCGCCUUGCUUUUUCCCUCUUUCCUUUUGUUUUCCUCCUGCCCCAUUCUAUCAACUAAACACAAUUAUGUAGUUGUUUAAUUCUUAAAUGAGAUAUUAUCGGUCAAUCGUAUUAUAUUUUAUCAAGAGAGAACGGAGUGCAAUGCAGCUGUAAUUUUAUCGUUUACUUUUAUCUCUUGGACCACUGCAUUUUUGUUAAGAGGUGCAAUAAUACACGUCUUUAUCUGCCAUUCAAUGUUUACAGUAAAGAGAGGGCACAAAACUCUUCACUGCUCUGCAUGUGUCCCAAAAAUGCGAUUGGACAAAUUAUGAUUUGCAUGCUAAAAAGAGGCAAAUGAGGUUAAUUCGCACCAUAAUUAUUUGGUUUUCUGGACACCAUAAAAAGAUGUUAUACAGGCAGGGAAAAACCUUCAGAGUUAGCUACCAAAGAUAAUUAUCAAGCAGAUAUCACCAAGAGAAUUCCAUAGAGUCUGAAUCAAAGACAGAUUGCUCGCUCGUGGGGGUUCUUACUUUCUUUUGGGUAUAACUCACUGAGGUCACUGUCUUUUUUAUUUGCAUUUCACAGUUAGAGUUCUGCUCUGGAAGGUUUGUUCUGGAAACAUAUAAAAGGAGCAUCAUUUUGUUCUUGGGUAACCCAUAGUCGUGAGUGGGUCCAUUUGCAUGCUACUUAGUUGAAAAGUUGGACAAUUUGCUCCGACGCCUACCUCCUGGAUUCCAUGCUCGGUAAAACAAGAAUAAAAAAAAAUAUAUAAUUUACAAAUGGGGGAAAGAAAAAAUGUCGGAAAAAAUAGUAAAAUUCAUGUCACAUGCUAGUGAGAGAAGGGGUUGUUACACUCACUCGAAGUUCUUUUCAAAAUAUCGAAUGGUAUUUUACUUUAUGUGUCAGCGCAGUUGUGAAUGGAACGUGCAAAAGUCCAAAUUGGCGUUUUUAUUUUUCCCAUGUAGGAUGGUGACCUUUAAUAAAUAUUUAAAACAAAAGACGAAAAAAAAAAGGAGGGAAAAGGGAUCACAAAAGAUAAAAUAAUGUUUACAAAAGCUCAAUUAGUUUGCAAAUUACUGUUUGGAUUUUGAUAGUAUUUUAUUUGUCGUUCUAUAUUUGAUGUAAAAGAGAAUUUAAGAUAUUUCCGAAGCAAAAGCAUUAGUUUGCUCUGUGAUGUCCCACAUCGAAUAGGGGAGAAAGUUUCUGGCGCUAUAUAUGUAGAGGCUCCUCUUAACCAAGUAGAUGCGUUUUAAAACCAUGAGGGCCCCCUUAGGUCCAAAGCGGACAAUAUCUACAUGAUUGGGUGUAAGUCAUUACAAAUGGUAUCAGAGCCGAUCCCCGACCCCGGUGUGGGGGUUUGUUUGGCCCUGUAAGGGGUGUUUGUCUGUUUGACCCCACAAUCCCAUGGGACACAACGAGGACGUUGUGUCUGCAUGGGGGGGCGUUUGUGAUGUCCCACAUCGGAUAGGGGAGAAAGUUCCUAGUGCUAUAUAUGUAGAUGUUUCUCUUAACCAAGUAGAUGCAUUUUAAAAUUGUGAGGGCCUCUUUGGGCCCAAAGCGGACAAUAUCUACAUGGUUGAGUGUAAGUCAUUACAUGCUCCAUGUCAAUUUCAGCAUUUCUCAUAUGUUUCACACAUACACAGAAGAGCAUCGUUUUUUAAAGCAUGCAUUUAUGUUGGAUUAAUUUGGAUUUUGUGGGAACUGGGGCAAGGAUCACAUGGAAGAGAGGUUGACUUUUUUCAGUACUUCAAUGGUUGAAAUAUGUGAAGGCUUGAUUGAUACUAAAGCUUGAAAUUGCGACUCUGUCAUUUGUAAAAAAAUAUGACAGCUUCCAUGCUCUCGUUUGGUUGCAUUGUCCGGUCGAGAGGUGCAAAAAGCAUUCUCUCUCUUCUAAUAGUCUUUUCGUUUAAAUCAAGGGAUUUGCCUUCCCGGUCGAGGUCCAAUAGAGGGUAACGGUCACCUACUAAACAUUAAAUGCUCCAACAACUAGUGAACUGAUCGACCCCAGCUCGACUAGUUGAGGUUACUUUUUGGUUUUCUUGUCUCCCGAGGUUAGAAACCUAUAAAUAGAGAGCUUCACUUCAUUUAUGAGUAAGAGAACACCUAAAUUUAUUUGUUUACCUACUUGUUUUUGCCAUAAAAGCUCUCAUUUCUUUUCUUGGUGUAUUAAAUCUCCAUUUGCAUAUCCUUUAGUGCACCUUUGUGAUUCAUUCUAGCCUUGAGUUGUAUUUAAGCCUUUGUUGAGCUAGGUUGAGAGUUUCAUACUUGUUUAUUGAGUGUUAAAGCCUUCAAGUGAGUUAAAACUUGAAGAGAUUGUGUAAGAGCCCAUUGGAGUCGGAAUCCAAGUGUAAAGGUGAUUAAAAGCUUGGUUGAAGCUUCAAGUUAGUGGAACUCUCACUCGGUUAUGAGCUUGAGAAGAGUGGACAUAGACAAGGCAGUGUCGAACCACUAUAAAAUCUGAGUUUGAUUUCUCUAACCUUAUCUCUUUAUAUUUGCUUCUCUUGUGCUUAAAUUUUUUGUGUUUAAAAAGAAUUUUUAAAAACUCAAUUCACCCCCUUCUUGGGAGUUUUUCUCUUUUAAGAUCAGCUUUUAUUUUCUCAAUUGGUAUCAGAACUAUGCCUCUUGUUUAAGACUUAAUCGUCUAAGAGGAAAUGGCUAAUCCAUCAAGUUCAUCUCACAUUGAAAGUUUUGCAACCAAUAGACUUCUUUUUUUUUUUUUGCGGGAACUGAUUAUCCCUAUUGGAAAACUAAAAUGACUUGGUUUUUACAAUCAAUUGAUUUAGAUGUAUGAGAUGCCAUUGAAGAUGACCUAACUUUUCCUUCAAAACUAGUUGAUGGAGUCAUGGUUCCAAAACCUAAGCAAGAAUGGGAUGAGCGUGAUUGAAGAAAUUUUCAAUUAAAUGCUAAAGUCGUUUAUACUUUGCAAUGCUCUAUGGACAGAAAUGAAUAUAAUAGAAUAUGUCAAUGCAAAUCGGUUAAAGAAAUUUGGAGAUUGCUUGAAAUAACUCAUAAAGGAACAAAUCAAGUUAAAGAGUCAAAAAUCAAUUUACUUGUUCAUAGAUAUGAAUUGUUUUUUAUGAAAGAUAAUGAAACUAUUGUUAAGAUGAUCACUAGGUUCACCAACAUUGUUAAUGGUCUUAAAGCCUUGGGAAAGACCUACAAGGAAUCCGAAAACGUGAUGAAGAUCUUGAGGUCACUUCCAUCAAAGUGGCAUACCAAGGUCACCGCAAUUUAAGAAGCAAAAGACUUGAUCAAGCUACCUUUGGAGGAGUUCAUAGGGUCAUUGAUGACAUAUGAAAUCAAUUUGGCAAAGAAGUAACAAAAAGGUGAAGACAAAAAGAAGAAGAACAUAACUCUCAAAGCUACAACUAAGGAAGAAGAAGUUGAAGAAGAAAAACAAAUUGAAGAAGAUGAAGAUUUAGCCCUCAUCACAAGAAAGUUCAACAAAUUCAUGAGGGGUGAAAGGUUUAGAAGAAGAAGGUUCACUUCUAGAAGAGACUUUUCUAAAAAGGAAUCUUCAUCUAAUGGUGACAAAAAGAGAUGGGAAGAGAAAAGAGACUUGGUGUGUUUCAAGUGCAAGAAACCGGGACACAUUAAAUAUGAUUGUCCUCUCUACAAAAGUGAAGUCAAGAGGAAAAAGAAUAAGGCAAUGAUGGCCACUUAGAGUGAAAGUGAAGAUGAAUCAUCCGAAGAAGAAAAUGAGAAAGAAGUGGCAAACAUGUGUUUCAUGGCAAUAGAUGAACUUGAUGAGGUAAAAUCUAACCUUAGUGAUUAAGAUAUACAUGAUGCAUUUGAAGAAUUGUAUGAGGAUUUUUAAAAACUUAGUUUGAAAAAUAUUUCUCUUAAAAAGAAAGUUCAACAACUUGACAAAGAACUUAGAGAAGUAAAAGAAAAAUUUUCAAAUGUUAAAGUUUCUAAAACUCAUCUUGAAAAAGAAAAUGAGAUUCUAAGAAAGAAAAAUGAAUAGUUGAACUCCUCUCUUUCAAUCUUUUCUUCUAGACAAAAAUCUUUUGAAAUGAUUCUAACUAGCUAAAAAUGUGUUUUUGACAAACAAGGGUUAAGAUUUAAAUCUUCAAAAAAUCAAAAGUAUUUUAAAAACUAUUUUGUAAAGGAAUCCACAAGUGCAAGUCCUUCCACUACUUGCAACUUUUGUGGAAGAGAAUGGCACAUUAGUAGUACGCCCUUUAAGAAAUGGUUCUCAAAAGAAUUUAAAUGCAAAAACUAAAAAAGAUUUGGAUUGAGAAAUCCAAGGUCACUAACCCUCAAGGACCCAAAAAGAUAUAGGUACCUAAAUCAACUUGAGUUUUAUGUUGUAAGGUUCAAAGAAUGAUAAGUGGUUCUUAGAUAAUGGUUGCUCAAGACACAUGACCGGAGAUGAAUCCAAGUUUGCUUUUCUUAAAAAGAAAAAUGGAGGAUAUGUUACCUUUGGAGACAAUGCAAAAGAAAGGAUGAUUGGUCAAGGCAACAUUGGUAAUGGCACAUCCUCUCUCAUUGAAAGUGUUUUAUUAGUAGAUGGUUUCAAACAUAACCUUUUAAGCAUUAGUCAAUUUUGCGACAAAGGUUUUUAAGUGAUUUUUUAAGCAUCUCAUUGCAUCAUCAAGGAUAUUCAAAAUGAUAAAACCAUUUUCAUGGGCCAUAGAUGUGAUAAUGUUUAUGCUAUAAAUAUUUCAAAAUAUGAUGGCCAUGAUAGAUGUUUUUCAAGCAUGCAUGAUCAAAGUUGGUUGUGCCAUAGGAGAUUGAGACAUGCUAACAUAGACCUCAUUUCCCAACUCAACAAAGAUGAACUUGUUAGAGGCCUUCCCAAAAUAAUUUUUUAAAAAGAUAAAGUUUGUGAAGCUUGUCAAGUGGGAAAGUAAAUCAAAAACUCUUUUAAAAACAAAAACUUCAUUUCCACAUCUAGGCCACUUGAGUUGUUGCAUAUGGAUUUAUUUGGUCCCUCUAGGACACCAAGUCUUAGAGGAAAUUCUUAUGCAUAUGCUAUUGUGGACGACUUCUCUAGAUACACAUGAGUCUUGUUUUUUAGUCAAAAGAAUAAAGUUUUUUAUGAGUUUUCAAAGUUUUGCAAUAAGAUUCAAAAUGAAAAAGGUUUUUCAAUUACUUAUAUAAGAAGUGAUCAUGGGAGAGAAUUCGAAAAUAUUGAUUUUGAAGAGUAUUGCAAUGAGCAUGGAAUUGACCACAAUUUUUUGGCUCUUAGAACUCCUCAACAAAAUGGGGUAGUUGAAAGGAAAAAUAGAACUCUUCAAAAAAUGACAAGAACCAUACUAAAUGAAAACAACUUACCAAAAUAUUUUUAGGCCAAAACGGUUAACACUUCUUGUUAUGUUUUAAAUAGAGUAUUAUUGAGGCUCAUACUUAAGAAAACUCCCUAUGAGCUUUGGAAAAACAAAAAACCCAACAUUAGUUAUUCCAAAGUCUUUGGAUGCAAUAUUUUAUAAUAAACACCAAAGACAAUCUUGGAAAAUUUGAUGCAAAAUUGGAUGUUGGAAUUUUCCUUGGUUACUCAACUUCAAGUAAAGCUUUUCGAGUUUUAACAAAAGAACCAUGGUUGUAGAGGAGUCCAUCCAUGUUAUUUUUUAUGAAUCUCCAAGAAAGAGAGAGGAUUGAUGAUGAUUUAGGUUUGAAGACCUCUAUAGGAAGAUUGCAAAUCGAAGAUAGAAGACAACAAGAAGAAAAUGGAGAGAAUCCAAAGAAAGAAGGAUCACCAUUGGCACUACCCCCUCAUCAACAAGCGCAAGGUGAAUCAAGUCAAGAGCUUCCUAAAGAAUGGAAGUUUGUCAUCAAUCACCCACAAGAUCAAAUUAUAGGCAAUCCAUCUAGUGGGGUAAGAACUAGAUCCUCUCUUAGAAAUAUUUGCAAUAAUCUAGCUUUUAUCUCUCAAAUUGAGCCUAAAAAUAUAAAUGAUGUUUUAGAUGAUGAAAAUUGGAUAAUUGCAAUGCAAGAAGAGUUAAAUCCAUUUGAAAGAAGUGGAGUAUGGGAAUUAGUACCAAGACCUUCAAAUCAAAGUGUUAUUGGAACUAGAUGGAUCUUUAGAAAUAAAAUGGAUGAAAAUAGCAUAAUUGUUAGAAAUAAAGCAAGAUUGGUAGCCCAAGGUUUUAAUCAAGAAGAAAUGAUAGAUUAUGAAGAAACCUUUGCCCCCGUAGCUAGGUUGGAAGCCAUUAGGAUGCUACUUGCCUUUGCAUGUUUUAAAGACUUUGUUUUAUAUCAAAUGGAUGUGAAAAGUGCUUUUUUAAAUGGUUUUAUAAAUGAAGAAGUAUAUGUUGAACAACCACCCGGUUUUCAAAGUUUCAACUUUCCUAACCAUGUUUUUAAACUUAAAAAGACACUUUAUGGUUUGAAACAAGCACCUAGAUCAUGGUAUGAAAAAUUGAGUAAAUUUCUUUUGAAAAAAAUGUUUUAAAAUGGGAAAAAUUGACACAACUCUUUUUAUAAAAACCAAAGAAAAUGAUAUGCUCUUAGUUCAAAUAUAUAUUGAUGAUAUCAUUUUUGGUGCUACUAAUGUCUCUCUUUAUGAAGAAUUUUCUAAGUGCAUGCAUAGUGAGUUUGAAAUGAGCAUGAUAGGAGAACUCAACUUCUUCCUUGGACUUCAAAUCAAGCAACUAAAGGAAUGAACCUUCAUCAAUCAAGCAAAGUAUAUAAGAGAUCUUCUCAAAAGGUUCAACAUGGAAGAAGCCAAAACAAUGAAGACUCUAAUGAGCUCAUCCAUUAAGCUUGAUAAGGAUGAGAAAGGUAAAUCCAUUGACUCUAUUAUGUAUAGAGGCAUGAUAGGUUCUUUGCUCUAUUUGACCACUAGUAGACCUUACAUUAUGUAUAGUGUGUGUUUGUGUACUAGAUUUCAAUCUUGUCUUAAAAAAUCUCACUUAAGUGUCGUGAAAAGAAUCCUCAAAUAUUUGAAAGGGACAAUGGACAUAGGCUUAUGGUAUCCUAAGAGUGAUAACUUUGAAUUAAUUGGUUUUUUGGAUGCUGAUUUUGUCAGUUGUAGGGUUGAAAAAUAAAACACUAGUGGCACUUUUCAUUUCUUAAGACACUUACUUGUCUCAUGGCAUAAUAAGAAGCAAAAUUUGGUAGCUUUGUCAACAGCAGAAGCUAAAUACAUAGCAACUGGUUUAUGUUGUGCACAAAUCCUUUGGAUGAAAUAAACACUUAGUGAUUUUGAUUUAUCUUUUGAGCAUAUUCCUAUUAAAUGUGAUAAUAGUAGUGCCAUAAGUAUAUCAAAAAAUCUCGUGCAACACUCUAGGACUAAGCAUAUAGAGAUUAGACAUAAUUUUCUUAGAUAUCAUACACAAAAGGAUGAUAUAACACUUGAAUUUGUAAGCAUAAAAGACCAACUUGCCGAUAUCUUUACAAAACCUCUAAGAACAUUUUGUUGAUAUUAGAGGACAAUUAGGAGUGAUUUCUUUAUGAUCUAAUGUGAUGAAUUCUUGAUGAAUAUACUUUUUGAUUGCAUGAAUUUCAUGUCAUAUAUGCAUCAUAUAGAAAUAUACUUAGAUAAUGGUCAAAUUUCGACCAAAAAUCAAAAUUCCCAUGGCAUUAGGCAUAAAAAUUUUGGAAUUUCAACUGAAAAUGGUAGGAGGAGGAUCACAAAAUGAGAAAGUAUGCAAAAAUUGAAAAAUCAAAACGUUGACCAAGCGGUCAAUCGGACUAGACCGAUCGACUAGUUUGUCGAGAUUUAGGAUUUUUAAGAGACUCCAACGCUUCAAUUUUUGCACCGUUCUCCUCUAUUUCUUCACGGUUUCUCUGAUUUUGUCUUUUAGAGACUAAUUUGAGUGCGUUUUGGAUCAAUUGAAGCAUUUUGGAUUGGAUUUUAGGAAGAUUGAAAGUUAAGGUUUCGGAUUUGGGUCGCCUUCUCUUCCUCUCGCGUGUCACAAUCAGCUUUAGCAUUGUUCUCUUUCCAUUUUCACACACCUAGGGUUUCAGUUGUGAGCAUCUCUCUCUCUUUACCAACCACUACUCCCUUGCUUCUUCCAUAUGGCUCCUAGGCGAGAGUCCGCUACUUCUAGGGCACAAGGCAAGCACCCAACUGAGUCGUCUCAGUCAAAGGCACGUCGAAAAGUGAGAUUUGACAUUGCCUUGUUCAGUUCCAUGGAGGACUACCAACUAUACAAGCAACACUUUGCUUAGAGACGAGUAGUUCCCAAGAGAAAUAUUAAUUUUCCUCAACUUCAGCAUUUCGAAUUUAAGGGUCUAUUUACUAGGAUGGUUGGUUGUCUAUUGUCACAAUUUCGGAGCCGGUUUUCCUGACCUUAGUGCGAGUUUUUUACUCGAGGGCGACUUAUGGCAUGGGUGGCAUGAUCAUUUCUACUGUUGGAGGAGUUGAGAUCUGUCUGGACCCAGAGAGCAUCUGCCAUAUUUUCGAUAUUGCUCUGGUUGGACUCAAAGUAUACAAGUCCAAAAUGUGGCCCAUUGUGCCAGGAUUUGAGCUUAGAGAGGUCAUUCAGAGGAUUUGUGAACUUCCAGACGCCCAGGAGAUGGGCAAACCAUUGCCACACAGUUUGACGGUCAUCAACAGGGUGCUACACCAUAUAUUGUGCUCUAUCUUUCUACCACGAAGUGGACAUUGAGAUGAGGUCUCUUAUUAUGAGGCAUUCCUUAUUGACUCCAUUCUAACGGAGAGACGAAUUCAUCUACUAUGUCAUCAUUCACUAAGCCUCCUCACAGUGACAUACCACCUCAUCAGGCACCUCUUGCUCCUGACCAUGCUCCAUUGAUGGAUUUAUUUACUCAUAUUAGCUCUCUAGGCACUCGCAUGAAGGAGUUUGUUGUAGUUAGUGAUACAUGGUUCUACUCCAUAGAGGAUCGCAUGGAUCAGUAUCAGACUGGCUUCACGUCACAGUUUGAGUAUCUCCAAUAGAGGAUUGAGCAUAUUGAGGAUCACUUGAGCAUGAGAAGAUGAUGGCUUUUCUAUGCUCUGUGUUUCCACCUCCACCUCGUCAACCUUGAUUUCUUAGAGACCCAUUGUUUUCAUUUUGUAAUGUUGCCAAAAGGGGGAGAUAUUUAGGAUCUAGGACUCUAUAGGAGACUUACAUGCAUAUCAUUUUCAUAUCAUUGUUUGGAUCGUACAUAUUGGAUAGUGAUACUUUUUACUUAUAUAUGAUAUGCCUAUAUGUUUCAUGUCUUACAUUGUUUCUUAUUGCAAAUUAUCUCUAACAUGUCUUGAUUAUCUUUUUUUUAACUUCAUAAAUUUUGAUUGUUAACCCAUGAUUGGUUUGAGGGGAAGAUUCUUCUUCUCCUAGAUAACCAAGGUUUGUCAUCAUAAAAAAAUUGGAGAUUGUUAGCCCAAGGGUUCUCCUAAUCAUGUUUUGAUGAUAACAAACCAUGCUUAAGUUACUAAUUGGUUUGAAUUAUAAAGAAUUUCAAGUGUUAAUUUGAAAAUUCAUCAAAGAACCUAAUGGAUGCAAGAUCAAGAUUUUUGGAAGACCUUUAAUCAUAAGAAACAUAUGUAAGAUGAAUGCAUGGGUGCACUUAAGAUUUGCAUAUCAUUUCAUGCAUAUUUGGAAAACACGGUUUAUGCUUUAAAGUUACAUUUCCAUCAAAAUUUGAGAUCCAUCAAAUGAACCUUAGGAAAAAUGUUUUAAAAUUGGCAUAUAAUUUUACCUAAAGACCUUGCCUAAGUGUUAGAAGCAAAAGGACAAAAAAAAUAUAGGUUUUCUGGUCAAAAAUGGUGAACCAGUCAAGGCAUUGUCUAAAUCAGCUCAAUCGGCCAAGGUACCGGUCGAUCGGUUUCCCUUUCCCUGUCGAGAUCUAGUCAAGAGGUACAAAAAUCACAAUCUCUGUCUCUUUCUCUCUUUGUCUAUCUUCCAGUAGUCUUUCCUUCCCGGUCGAGGGAUUUGCCUUCCCGAUUGAGGUCCGAUUGAGAGUAAUAGUCACUUGCCAAAUAUUAAAUGCUCCAACAGUUAGUGAACUGGUCGACCCCCACCUUGCCCAGUUGAGGUUACUUUUUGGUUUUCUUGGCUCCCGAUGUUAGAAACCUAUAAAUAGAGAGUUCCACUUCAUUUAUGAGCAAGAGAACACUUGCAUUUAUUUGUUUACCUACUUGUUCUUGCCUUAAAAGCUCUCAUUUCUUUUCUUGGUGCAUUAAAUCUCCAUUUUGAUAUCCUUUAGUGCACCUUUGUGAUUCAUCUUAGCCUUGAGUUGUAUUUGAGCCCUUUUUUUAGCUAGGUUGAGAGUUUCAUACUUGUUAAUUGAGUGUUAAAGCCUUCAAGUGAGUUGAAACUUGUAGAGAUUAUGUGAGAGUCGAUUGGAGCCGAAAUCCAAGUGUAAAGGUGAUUAGAAGCUUGGUUGAAGCUUCAAGUUAGUGGAAUCCUCACUCAAUUAGGAGCUUGAGGAGAGUGGACGUAGCCAAGGAAGUGUCGAACCACUAUAAAAUUUGAGUUUGAUUUCUCUAACAUUGUCUCUUUAUAUUUGUUUAUCUUGUGCUUAAAUUUAUUGUGUUUAAAAAGAAUUUUUAAAUACCCAAUUCACCCCCCUCUUGGGUGUUUUUCUCUUUUAAAAUUAGCCUUUAUUUUCUCACAAACUAUUGUAGUAUAGUGGUUUUUAGGUGUCAUCCAUUAGGAUGAAUUGUUCUCGGUAAUUAAGGCGUGAAUGAGAGGAGAAUUAAUGAUUGUGAUUAAGUAAAAUUGAUUUGAAAAUUCAUGGUGAAAAAUCAAUUUAACAAUGGUUUCUAAUUGAGAAAAACAAUGAAAUGUGAAAUAAAAUAAAAUUAAUAGGAAAUGAAAUUCUCGAAGUUAGAAUUUUCUAAAAAACAAAUUCCAUGGUGAAUGGAUGUUGAGAUCUAAUUUUCAUCAAGUUAGAUUGAAAACCGAAAUUUUCAUAUAAACUGAUUUUUUAUUUAGUUUUAGGUCUAGAUUUAAUUUCCCUUAAAAUUAGGUUAUUUAAUCCAAGAAAUCAAUUCAAAUCAUAUAUUCAAUUCAUCUUAAAUUAUCUUCCAAUUAUUCACACAAUGCAACUAUUCAAUCUCAUCAAAUCUAGCUUUUAAGAAUUUAAUGAAUCUACCUAGUUUGCAUUGUAAUAGUCAUCCAUGACAAUUUGAAGAGAAAAAUAAUUCAAUUAAUCAAUCACUUGGAUCAAAUUACCUUUGCAAUUAAAGUUCAUUUCUCUAAUUCACCACAGAUUUUGUCUCUAGAUCCUCCUUUCUCAAAGAAAAAUGAGAUUUAGCCACACAUGAUUGGAGAUUUGGUCUCAUAAGGCAUGUUUAGCUAGUGAUAAAAUGAGAGAAAAUAAAGAAAAAUAGAGAAUUCGAUUAAGAAAGAAAAUCUAAAAAAUUCUACAAUUAGAAAUGUCCAAAAAGCUUUUUCAUGAGAAAAUCAAGUUUCUAUUUAUAGGCCAAGGUCAAGUGGACACUUGACAUCAUCUAAGAGGUCUUCCGGAAGCUUCUUCAUCAAGAAAUCUGGAGUUUAAUAAUAAAAUGGUCAUUUCACAAGAGCUCAAACAAUUUCGCAUGAUUAUGUGAAAUAAAAAAUGCAACAACAGCAAUUUACAUCUUCUUGGAGCAUUUCGCAUGACUGUGUGAAAUUUUCACAUGAUCAUGUGGAAUCGACUUGACAACUCUCAUUUAGCCUACAACAUAAUUCCACCUUUUGGUCCAUUUUUCAUAGUCAUGCGAAAUGGAAAUAUUUGAUUUUUAAGUUUUCUUUUGUCAUUUCUUUCAUUUCCUUCUCUUGAUUCCACUUCAACUACCUCCGAAUCCUGGUCCAAACCAAUUGCAUUACUUCUUUCAUUAUGCAUUUGGAUCAUCAUCAACAUUAUUUGUUCUCUUCAAUUUGAUUCAUCUCUUUUGUCACCAAUUUAUCAAAAUCAUACCUUGAAAUGACUCCAAAACUUCAUAAAACUUGUUAGUAACUCUUGCAAGGGCAACAACAUAUUAAUUAAGUGUUUUAGGCAUAGUUACUACUCAAAAGAUGCGAAACUCAUGAUAAUUAUUAUAUAAAAUAUGCUCUUUUUGAGUAGUAAUCAACUUUCUUGCAUAAGCAGACCUUUUAGGGUGGAGUACUAAAGACCAAUAUGCUUGUCCUUGUUGUAAUAAAGAAACUUGCUCUUAUUGAUUGCACCAUGGGAGAAAAUUUUGCUACAUGAGUUAUCAUCAAUUUCUUCCCACCAAUCAUAGAUUUAGACGUGACAAGAGGCCUCUUAAUGGCAAGGAGGAACUGACACUCACACUUAUACAAUUAUCGGGCAUUGAUGUGUUGCAACAAUUAGAAUAACUUACACCAAUUAUGUUGGGGAAGUCACAAAAGGCAAACAUGAAAACUAAAAGGAAAAAAGAAAAAUGUUACAUAUCACCACAACUGGAAAGAAAAAAGUAUUUACUUUCAUUUGCCAUAUUGGAAAGCACUUAUUUUACAUCAUAAUAAUUUAGACAUAAUGCAUAUUGAGAAAAAUGUGUGACAAUAUAAUUGAGACAUUGUUCAGUAUUGACGAAGAAACAAGGACAACCUAAAUAGUCAUCUCGAUUUACAAGCUCUAACUAUUAGAAAUGAGAUUCACCCAAUAGAAAGCAGGACCAAAUUUAUUUUGCUUGCAACAUGCUACUCACUCACCCCAAAUGAGAUUAAGGAAUUUUGCAAGUUUUUGAAAUCAAUAAAGGUCCCCAAUGGCUAUUCUUUCAAUAUCUCUCGUUAUGUGCAACUCAAUGAAAGGAAGAUAUAUGAGCUCAAAUUGUAUGAUUGUCAUGUCCUAAUGCAACAACUUCUCUCACUUGUAGUUCGUGGAGUUCUACAUAAGAAUGUUUGUGGAGUUAUCAUAGAAUUGCGUAAUUUUUUCAAGCAAUUGUGCUCAAAGGUGUUAGAAACAAAUCACUUACACCAACUUGAGAACAAUAUUAUUGUCAUACUAUGUAAAAUGGAGCAAAUAUUUCUUCCAUCAUUCUUUGAUAUUAUGGUGCAUUUACUUGUGCAUCUAGUAAGGCAAAGGUUGCAAGACUUGUGCAAUAUUGUUGGAUGUACCUAAUUGAACGAUAUUGUUAUAAUUUCAUAUGAAUCAUUUAAUUUUAUUUUAUAUUAUGUUCAGUUCAUUAACAUGUACAUUGGUCUACAUAUGGAUGAUGAUAGGUACCUAAGCACUUUAAAGUCAUAUGUGCGUAAUAGAACUUUUCUAGAAGGUUCUAUUGUAGAAAGGUACCUUGCAAAAGAAUGUACAACAUUUUAUUCUAGGUACUUGAAUGAUGUGGAAAUAAAGUAUAAUCACAAUGAUAGAAACUUUGUUGGUUUCAACACUAGAGGAGAUGAAAGGGGUUAUCUUUAAACAUAUUGGACAUGCAUUGGGAAAGCCCAUAUUUCAUUAACUUAGUUCAAAAGAGUGGUCACAAGCACAUUUAUAUGUGUUGACAAAUUGCGAAGAUGUCAUACCAUUCAUUGAGUAAAAAAUUUAUUUGAAUUUUAAUUAAAGCUCUAGUUUAUAUCCUUAAUCAAUGUUUUUUAAAUUCACAAGGAGCACAAGCAAACCAUCAAGGCUAGACCACAUAUACGUGUUUGAGACGUAGAUUUAAUUCAUAACAAGGAAUUUAUCAAGUGGUUUGAAAGACAUGUAAGUAUAUUCCUUAUUAUAAGGGAUUUAUUUCACAUUAUGUUUAUAUUGAAUCCAAACCUAUUAUUGAAUUGUAGGUUGAACAAUUACAUAAUGAAGGUCAUAUAUCUGAACACCUUCUCACAUUAUCAUGUGUUCCAAAUUCAUUAGUUACAUGCUUCAAAUGAUAUAUUGUCAAUGGAUUUAGAUCCCACAUUAAAGAACGUGAUAAAAAAGUUUUUAAAAAAAGACUCAGAAUAAUGGAAUUGUUGUAGUUGCAAAAACGUCAAGCUUUACAAGUGCAUGUGAUAUGAGUCCAAUUAUUAGUGAUGCUCUCUACUAUGGUGUUCUAACUAAAGUUGUUGAGUUACAUUAUCUUGGUGAAAAUAAGGUUGUUUUAUUCGAGUUUGAUUGGUGGGAUGUUACAAAUAUUGGAAAAUUGAUAAAAGAUGAUGAGUACAAUUACACAUUUGUUAACUUUGCAUGAAUUCUAACCACGAACGAACGAUUUGUACUUGCAUCUCCAGCAAAGUAAGUGUUCUAUGUGAAGAAUGCGAAUGAAUCAGAUUGGCAUACUAUCAUGGAGAUGCAACCUCAAGACCUCUAUAAGAUGAACGGGAUAGGAUCCAAUGGUGAUUUUGAACCAUUUCAACAAAGUGAACUACAUGAUCACUAAUAUAUCUCAGAUUUAGUUGAUGAAGAUAUAAUCAAGUGGAACAAAAGUGAUGUUUUAGGACUAAUCAUCCUAAAAAAUAUUGUAGUUUCUUAAAAAAAAAAUGAAAAUGAAGAAGAUAAUUGAACCUUUGUCAUACUUUAAAAAGCAACUAUGCAUUGUUCAUUUUGUAUGUUUUGGUUUUCUUCAUUUAAUUUCCUGAUUUUUGUGAUUCAAUGUCAUAUUAUUGAUCUUGAAAUAUUUUUCUAAUUUUUCAUUCUACGAUGGUUUCAACAAGGAUGACAUCAAGUCAAAAAAGGAAAUGUGGUCCCACACACAAUAUUGCAUUACAGGGAUUAAGGUCAGGGAAGAAGGUAAAAGUUGCAUUUAAUGAGUACAAUCAAUUGGUUAAACAGAAAAAUGGAAAACACUUAUCGAGCUACAUAGGGACACUUGUAUCUAACCAACACAAUGUACCUCUCCAAGCUAGUGAUUGGAAAAAUGUUCCAAAUGAUGCAAAAGAGAAAGUAUGGCCUUUGUUUUGGUAUGUUGUAUUUCUCACUAUAUGAUGUCAUUUCACUGUUAUUCUAUUUUGUGACUAACGUUUGAAUCAUAUGUAAGAAAAAUUUGAAGUAGAUAAAGACUGAAAAGAUUACAUGUUGGGUAUAGCCUCAAAUAAAUAUAGAAGCUAUAAAAAUAUGAUGAAUGCAAAAUACUAUGACCCUUGGCAUAAGGAUGCAUGAGGAGAGGUUAAUACAUAAAUCACCAUUUGUCUCUGAUGUUGAUUGGAAGUGGCUUGUCUCUGAUGCAUAAACCAAAUCCCCCACUGAAUGUUUGAUAUUUGAUAGCAGGAAAAACACACCCGCAGCUAUACACCUCCAUCAUUCAGAUAAUUAUAGUGGGGGAGAUGAUUCAUGGUUGCCCUUAUACCCUUUAUUUGCACCAUCUAUUGAGAUUCUUUAUCAUGGCCAGGUUUUACUGCAGCAAUAAGAUAUGGUGGCAACAAUUUUAUCUAUAGGUGCGGUUCCAGACCGCCUCCAUAGGUGCGGUUCCUGACUGCCUCCAUAGGUGCCUCUUCUUGUAAUGUUUGUUCUGGGAAUUACACUUGAAAGCCUUAUCGUGAUAAGGGAUUACAAACACUAGUUCAGAGGACAGCCAUGUUAAACUUCCACUAUGUUUGUGUCACAUUAUCAGCAGCCUAGUGUUUAUUGGUCAUGCUAUCUGCAACUAAUAUAACCCGGUGAACUUCAAUCUAAAUUCUGAAAGUACUCAUGUGACAGAUGGUGCCUUUCAGCAGAUAUCAUCAAUUUAAAAGUAGUGUGUGUGCCUAUAGGUGGGAAGGCCUUGGCAAAUGUUCAGUAUUCCGGUAAUUCAAGAAGGAUAUAUCUAAAAUAGAUUUUCUUCUUGCCCAUUUCAAUAGUUAAAAUUUGAGAAGAUUGUGUCCACAUCACACAAAUAUUAUUGGUCCUUCUGUUGCAAUUUACCUCUGAACAUGUCUUCCAAUUCCCACGGUCCUGUUACUCCAGGAAAACUAUUUCGGUCAUAUUGAAAAAAAAAAUAUUAAAGAAGGUACACAUGCUUUUAAGUGGACUGGGGCAUUCAUAUCAGGUGGUCUGUAUCCACAUAUGCCACUUCGUGAAAGGUGGAACAGCCUAAUCACUAGGCUAUUUAGUGUGGCCCAGCCACGUUAAUCAAGCACAAGUCUUCAUACUUAAAGUCAAAUGGUGUCUUUAGUCUCAUUACACAUCGCUAUUUGAAGAUUAACUCAUCACUAGUGUAAUGCGAUUAAGACAGUCCUAACUCAAUAUUUGUUCUAGUUUUGGAUGCAAAUGCUUGCUGGUUUCAUCAUUGGAUGGGAUAAAGGUGCAAUCAGGACUAUGAAUACGUGCAGUAAUACUUCAUUCUCUUUUUUCUCAAUGAGACUUCUUGGCACAAUUUUGCUGCUCAGCAACCUACCUUUCCAUGGAAAAUCAGUUGUGACUGAUAGUAAUGGAUAUAUUCUAGAAAGCUAAACAUAGAUAGCAUUCAAUAUUAUCGAUAUAACAUUAACAGCGUAUGUCUCAAUGCUCAUCAGCUACAAGCAAUGGACAAACACUUUGAGUAACUCACAGCAGUCAAAAUUCCUAAACAGGACAGACGUGACAGAUCUAUAUAUAGAACACUGCAUAUGAGUCACAGGAAAAGAUAAUACGGGUACAUAGAAGCUCUUAUUUUACAUAUUACUCAUACUGAUCAAAGUCGCUCAGUUGGGAUGGAUGGGAGAAGGAGGUUUGAGGGGUGGCUUGUGCGGGGAAGUUGGCAGCUUCUUUCCGGGAGCUGGUUGCUUCUUUGCUGGAGUUGAAGGAGGCUUAAUCUUCCGAGGUGGCUUGUAUGAGUCUUCAGCAUUCUCAGCAGGAGGGUGACCAGGGUUGUGACCAUAAUGUGGUGGCUUCUCUCCCUUAGGUGGUUUGCCAACUGGGGUUGGUGGCUUGUUUUCUGGGAGUGGCUUCUCUCCCUUGGGUGGUUUGCCAACUGGGGUUGGUGGCUUGUGUUCUGGGAGUGGCUUCUCCCCCUUGGGAGGUUUUUCGAAUGGGGUGGGUUUGUGUCCUGGUGGUGGCUUCUCUCCCUUGGGAGGUUUACCAAUUGGGGUCGGUGGCUUGUGUUCUGGGAGGGGCUUCUCUCCCUGGGGAGGUUUAGUGGGUGGCUUGUGUUCUGGAGGUGGCUUCUCCACCGGAGGCUUAUGCUCUGGUGGUGGCUUCUCGAAGGGGGGAUGCUCAGGGUAAUCACCAAGUGAGGGGGUGGUGAGAACCACCAUGCCAAGCAACAACACUAGCAAGUAUGUAGUAGACAUCUUUGGGUUUGGACUCAGACAGUGCAAAACUACGAGAAAUCGCUAGCCCUUUAUAGCGGCUCGGACCUAAUACUGACAUAAUAUAAAAUAAAUAUUAUAUUUUAUCAAGAGAGAACAGAGUGUAAUUUUAUCAUUAAUACCGAUCGAGGCCAAAGAAAGAAGACCCAUAAUCCAUUUCCCACAAGCAUACACAAUGCAGCUGUAAUUUUAUCAUUUACUUUUAUCCCUUGGACCACUGCAUUUUUGUUGAGAGACACAAUAACACAUUUUUAUCUGUCAUUCAACAUUUACAGUAAAGAGAGGGCACAAAACGCAAUUAGAUAAAUUAUGUUUUGCCUGCUAAAAAGAGGCAAAUAACUUUAUUUGCAACAUAAUUAUUUUGGUUUCUAGUGACCCCGGGGCCUUUCGGUUGGUUUGGGAUCGGAAAAUGAACAUCAUAGGGGGGGUUGUGCCCUUAUGGGCAUAUAUAUCUGAUAGCUUCAACUGGCCUUGUUCCUAGAAAGAAAUUGCCAAAGAUAUAAACUUAUUCCAGGCUGAAAGUAGAUGAGAGUCAUAAUGAACAUCAACCUUUGUUCAGUUUGAUUCAAUGCCCCCAUAGUGUUCAUUUCACAGAUCUGAAUGAUUAUAUCCGUUGAAUACAUAAAUUAAUGAAGACAAAUAUGAAACCCAAGAUACAUCUCUGCAUAACAACCCCAACCCUGGUUGCUAUGUUUCCCUUCUUCUAUUCACAUGAGGAUACUGGUUAUAAUUGUCAAACUUGCAACAAGCCCUUUGACACCUAACGUCAAUGGACGAAUUAAAAGUCUCCUUCAAACGUCUAUUUCACAGCAUGAAGCUUAUAAAGGAUGCUGACAACCUUCAGAGUUAGCGACAAAAGAUAAUUAUCAAGGAGAGAUAGUUCCAUGAGAAUUCCAAGGAGUCUGAAUCAAAGACAAAUUGCUCACUCAAGGGUUCUUAUUUUCUUUUAGGUACAAAUCUCUUGAGUGUUGUUAAAGAAACACGUCACUGUCAUUUUGAUUUGCAUUUAACAUUUCACUUUUGUUCUGGAAGGUUUGUUCCGGAAACAUAUCAAAUGAGCAUCAUUUUCUUCUUCGGUGACACAUGGUCGCGAGUACGUGGGUCCAUUUUCAUGCCACUUAGUUGAAAAGUUGGAAAGAAAAAACAUGCCAACAAGAAGAUAGUGAGAGAAGGGGCACUUCAAGCCUUUAACAUGAACAAACAGUAAAUAAAAGAUGUUUCUCCACUCAUAAAAGUGUGUUAGAUAGCAAUAUAACGAAUCACAUCCAAAAUCUUUACUAGGCUCAAACAUAAAGAAGACUCAUUUUUAAGAAAAGAUAAAAAUGGCAUUGUCUGAUAGUAUCCAAUACACGAGAUGGCACUUAAUUUGUACAAGAUCUGUCAAUGCUGACGCACAUUUUCUGAUUAAAAAAAAACUGAUCAGUCAAAAGCAAUGAAGAGAAGUGAUGACAAUGAAUGAUGCUUCCAAUAUUUUCACCCCUUAUAGUGUUCUUCAUGAUUCAGAUAUAUAAUUGGAAAUAGAACAACCCUAUGCCAUACAUUCGUCUAAGUAUGGUGUCUAAUUUUUUGUGUCAGCGGUUGCGAAUGGAGCGUGCAAAAGUCCAAAUUGGCGUCUCUCCAUUUCCACAUAGGAAGGUGACCUUUAUUGACAAAUACCCAAUAUUUGUAGACAUUCCUUAAAUAUCAUAACUUCUUGUUGAUUUGAAAAUCAUUUUUCAACUACCAUGUUUUAAUAAAUAUUUUUUAAAAUGUAUUUUUAUCAAAGUCCACCAUGAUGGAUAAUAUUCACCAUGCAAUAAUUAAUAAAGUACAAACUAAGCGAAAUGAAAAGCAUUUUCUUUGCUUUGAGUUGAUUUUGGUUGCAUUGAGUUGAUUUUGGUUUCAUGGUUUUUUCAACUCUUAUUUUGAUUGGAAGAUGUCAAGAAAAGAAAACAUAAAGAAAAAUUAAAAGGGAAAAAAGAAGAAAAAUAAAAAAAAAUAGAUUUAAAAGUUAAUAAAUUAUUUUUUAUAUUUAUUUUAAUUCAUUUCACUUAUUUUUCUUUUACUAUAUAAAAUUUAAAUAAUUUAAAUUUUAUAAUUAAUUUAAUUACAUUUCAUUUUCUUCUAUAUUUAAAUAUUGGAAAAAUAUUUUACUUAAUAUUUUUUUCUUUAAUUUCUUUGGCAUUUUGGGAACCAAACUUAGCCUUUAAAAUAAAAAACAAAAAAAAAAUGAAAAUAAGGAGGGAAAAGUGAGAAAAGAUAAAAACAAUAUGUAAAGGAUUUGAAAAGUAUUAGUUUGUAAUUACUAUUUGGAUUUCAAUAGUAUUUUAUUUGUCUUUCUAUAUUUCAUGUAAGAGAGAAUUUAAGAUAUUCCCCAAGGCAAAGCAUUAGUUACCUGCAAUCAGUGGUGAUAAGGCUCCAAGCCAAUUUUGGGCCCCAUAUCUUAAGACAGUACAAUUUCCAUUUCAACAUUUCUGAUUUCUCAGAUGUUUCACAUACCACAGAAGAACAUUGUUUGUGAAAAUAUGCAUUUAUGUUGGAUUUUGUAUGCUGUGGGGACUGGGGCAAGGAUCAUAUGGAAGAGUGGUUGACUUUUUCUGUACUUUAACGGUUGAAAUAGGAUAAGCACGGGCAUUUGUGAGGCUUAAUUGAUUUUGAAGCCUGAAAUUGCGUUUCUGUCAUUUUGUCAAAAAAAUGGCAGAUUCCAUACUCAUAUGUUUGGCCUGUGGCCAUGUACAGAUGCCAUUUAGUGACCAGUUUGUAACUGUCAAUCGUUGCGUUUUGACUCUGCCUCAACAACAUCUGCCAUUGACGGGUUUUCAUACUUGCAAAUCAAAUAGUCUUUCGUCCCAUCAGGAAUUUCGGUUUAAAUAUUAUUAAGCAUACGUUUGGCUGACAAUCAUUAUCCAGUUCAUGAUUUGGUUUCUUACCCUUAAUCAAUGGUUUCUAAGUGAAUAUAUGUAGAAGGAAAUCCGAAGUGUAGACAGUAGUAUCGAUAACUCUCAAUAUUCUCUAUAUAAUAGAAUAAACAGCGUCAUAGUGAUCGUCGCCUACAAGCAAGGUACAAAUACCAAAACGAGUGACUCACAUAGACAUCUCCCAACAAGAUGUAGUAGUGACUGACACAUGGACACAAUUAACUCGUAGAAAAGGAUAAGACCAUUGCACAGCAGCUCUUAUUUUACAUACUACUUAUGCUAACCAAAGUCAAUUAGUUGGGAUGGGUGGGAGAUGGAGGUUUGUGCGGUGGCUUGUGGGGCGGAGUUGAUGGCUUCUUUCCAGGAGCUUCUGGCUUUUUCAUCGGAGCUGAAGGAGGCUCAAUCUUAUGAGGCGGCUUGUAUGAGUCUUCUUUACUCUCGACAGGAGGGUGGCCAGGGUUGUGAUCAUAAUGUGGUGGCUUCUCUCCCUUAGGUGGCUUGCCAACUGGGGUUGGUGGCUUGUGUUCAGGAAGUGGUUUCUCUCCCAUGGGAGGUUUAGCAAUUGGGGUUGGUGGCUUGUGUUCUGGGAGUGGCUUCUCUCCCUUGGGAGGUUUAGUAGGUGACUUGUGUUCUGGAGGUGGCUUCUCCACCGGAGGCUUGUGCUCCGGUGGUGGCUUCUUGGUUGGAGGGGGCUUGGGGUAAUCAGCAAGAGAUGGGGUGGUGAGAACCACCAGUCCAAGGAACAACACUAGCAAGUAUGUGGGAGACAUUUUUGAGUUUGGGCUGAUCAGAUGAUGCAAAACUAAAGCAUUACGUGACCUUUUAUAGCAUGUAGCUCCCAAUACCCACUAAGUAUUGUGGGGUCCAUUUGUGCCCUACGGGGUUGAAAACUUAGACAAUUGGGCAAGGACCCACCUGACUAUGGAGGACUAGUGAGGUGUGAUCAUAGCUUUAGGAUUUUUCUUCCUCUGCAGCCGUCGUGCCGUUGGCAUGAUUUUCUUAAUCUUAAAUAAAGGCAUAGUUAUAGAGUUGUUUAAUCUCUAAAUGGGAUUUUAUAUAUAUCUUCAGAUAGCCAUUAAUAUAUUUGAUGAAGAAAGAAAGACAAGUGCAUACAACAUGUAUACGACUAGCUUUCAUGGAGUUCAUUUAUGAUCAGUUUUCCUGUACAUGUAAACCAGGAUCAUAUAUAUGUUUCUGUUCCACAACUAUUUUGGAAUCUUGUUUAUCAGUUUUUAUCAUUAUAAUGUCACAUAGGCUGCCAACUUGGGCGCUAAAAGAACCAGUUGGGCUAGUUCGUUUCAGAAUUUCAAUGUGGAUUCAGGAAUUGUUUUGUAAGAUAUGCGAAAUAGUAGAGGGAUGAAUAGUGUUUCAUUAAUAAAAGUGUCCUGUAAAUUAGAAGGUGUCAUAGAAACUAUAAUCAAUAAAUAACUUUUUUUCCCCACGGGUGGUGUUUCUUGUGGGGAUCAGUGACUGGUUUAGGUUCACCCAAAAUGAGUUCAGACUAAAAUUGGUUUGAGUCAAUGCCGUGUCUCUUUUUUCCAGAAAUCAACUAUUUUAUGCAUUGAAUAAAUCAUACAAAGAAAAUAUGAACGCCCGCAAAACCUAAACCCUGGUUGCUAACUUUCUAUGUUUCAGUUCUAUUCACGCAAGAAUAUUAGUUUAAGUUUGGGAAAAAUGGCAACUUACCUAGUGAUUACUUGGUUUUGGUUUGCGACUAUUUACGCAACCAACCAUGAGUUUGACUUUAACGUCAUGGGUUGAAGCCUCCUACAGGAAGGGAGAAAGCUCCACAGCUAGCUCCAAAAGAGAAUUAUCACAUUGAUAGCUCCAGAGAUUCCCAAGGGGACUGAAUCAAAGACAAGUUCCUCACUUUUUCUUCUUUUGAGGCCAAAUAUGAACCAAGGAUCACACAACCUCAUUCAACUUCAUAAGUUUGAUUUCAUGCAGUUGAACACUGGGUGAAGGCCAUGACAAGAAUUGAUUCAAAAAUUCUAUCACUCUUUUAAGUAAUGGAAGAUUAUUAUCUCUGAUUGGCAUCACAACAGCACAUGCUCCUAGAUCUUUCUAGACACUCCAUGCAAUGAAAGCACAAUGGAUCUUGUAACGAUAGAAACUAAGCCAUGCUACAGUACUAGAUGAUGAGGUAAAACUAGUAGACACGGGUGGCAGCCUAUAUGGGAGGGACACAAGUCUAAUUGAUUUGCAUUUCAGCAUUAUAGAUAGGUAUGUUUUGGAAGAUUUGUUCUGGAAAUACCGCACCAAGUAGGAUUCUUUUUCUCUUUAGUGGGUCCACUUGCAUGCCAAUUAACGAGUUGAAAAGUAUGAGCACCUACCUCGUGCUCGUGGAACCGAAGGUCAGUGAAGUGGGGCUCCUUUUGGCCUCGUGUAAACUUGAUUCAGAAGUGAAGUUAAUAGUCUUCCAUUCAGAUGGAUACAUGGGAAUUUUUCUCUUUUAUUUAUUUAUUUAUUUUUUUUUUGUGUGUGUAUGUCAAAGGAUAAUGAAUGAAGCGCGUUAGCUUGUUUUCUGACUGGAACCGCAGAUGUCCAAAUUGGAGUUCCUUCAUUUCUUACUUAGGAUUGUUACAUGUAUAAACAAGGUAUAAGAAAUAUGCCAACGUGUCUUGAGGAGUUAUUGAUUAGAAAUAACAAGUCACCCGACUGUAGAGUUCCAAGAUUUGAAUCUUCAGACCCUAUAGCAGCCUCUGGGGUACGUGGCAUCCUAUAGCAUAUUAAUGAAGGCUUUUUCGAUUUAGACUUCACAAUACCAAUUAAUAUGUAUGCACAAAAUGGAGAUGACCCCAAAAAAAACAGAAUCGCCAUAGUUUAUGAGGUUAAGGUGAUUCUCCACUUAAUAUCUACAUUAGCUAAUUAUGUAAAUCAAAUGAACUUCUAUUUUUCCUUUUUUUUUUUGGUUUAUGUCAAAUAGUAGCCCAUAAUUAACCCAACCAUUAGCCUGUUUGAAUUGAUUUCACAUGCACAAUGUUGUAGUAGUUCAUAUUUUGAAUUUUAUUUUUACAAAGGUAGUUAAGGAAAAUGAAGUAUAAUAAUUAUAAAAGCAGACUAUAUACACUACAAUAAUUGUUAGAAUGGUAUCUCAAAUUCUAAUUUAAAAUAUUAUUUUUUGUAAAAGAAAUAUUAUAUAGAAUAUUUCCUAAUUUUAUAAAUGAUUAUAAUUAGAUCUUUAUAAAAUAAGGAAAGUUGGUAAGAAUAUCUUUAUAAAUAUUUUAGGUCAUGAGAGAAAGAAAUGGGAUAAAAAUGUGAUGAAGAGGUGAAAUAAGAGAGUUGAUUAGGAUAUAGAUGUGAAGAAGAAAGGGAUUCAAUAUAUAUAUAUCUUUCAAUUACCACAUUAAAACCCUGUGAACCUUUUAUAUGGUUUACUUUAUUUUUAUAUUCCUCCUUUAAUAUAUUUACAUUAAUGCUUCCAUUGGCACAACAAUAACGAAUUACAAAUACAAGCAACAAGUCCCAUGUUUUAUUACCAAAAGCAGGUAAAAUCCACCUAAUAUAUUACAAUAUAUUCAUCCAAUAUUUUAGACCAAUUCUUCACCAUAAAUAUCAUAAUGUGGCUUUUGUUCUUUCUUAAAUUUAAAUUGAAUUGUCUUAUAUCAAUUUGUUUGUGAUUUUUUCAUUAACUUCACUUUCAUUUGGUUAUCUUUGGUUUUUGAAAAGUAUUAAGGAAUUAAUUAACAAAAUAAUGUUAAGAAAAAUAAUUUUCUCUCUUUUGAUUUUGAUUUUGUAGUAGAAAAAUAUAAUUAAAAUUAUUUAAAAAGUAUGUAAUUUUAAAUUAUUUAAUAUUUAGAUAAAAAAAAUAAGUCUAAUGAGUUUAAAAUAACAUAUAAAAAUAAUUUAUUUAUUUUAAAUUUAUUUUUUAUUUUCCAUUAUGUUCUCUUUCUCUUUUACUUUUUCAUAUUUUUUCUUACGAAGAAUCAAACACAACCUCAUAUUAUAUGUCAAGUGUUUGUCUAUAUUUGAGCAAUGUUAGAUACGGCCAUGGAUUCAUCAAACUAAACUGAUUUUAAUAGAUACUUCACAAAUUGAUUUAUACACUAAAUCAUUGGAUAGCAAUGAUGCAUUGGAAUUAAACGUAGGAUGAAGCUCGAAGAACACUGUUUGUGUAACAACAUAUUUAUGAAAUUAUGCAAAGGAUGAGCUUCGGGGUAGUAGUACAAGGUCAUUAAUGGAGAGCCGUGUUAAACCUUGAUUGUGAUUGGAUUCCGUUAUCAGCAACAGCAACCUUGUUUGUAACCUUGAAAGUCAUUCUGUCCACAUCGAAACUCCAAUUUGACGUUUGUAAUUACCAUUCCUGGAGUGUUCCUUGAUUGAAAUUUAAAUAAUAAUUGCGGCCCACAAGGAAUAUUUUCGAUUCUGUGGGAAUUUGACAAGGUUUGUUAGAGAAGACUGGUGACAUGUUGACUUCAAUGGUUCAAAUAGGAGACGUAUGUGGAUUUGGGGGGUUUAAUUGAAACUGAGUCCCUAUGGCUUUUUAAUAUUUGCAUUGAGCAGUCUCCAUGUGACUUCCUAAUUCCCACCAACCCUCCUGUCCAUGCUGUGAAACUAAAUUGUAAUUUAUCAGCCUUUGUCAAUGGUUUCUAAAUUAAAGAUAUAGACCAUGCAUGUACUUUAAUAAAAGCAAAUCUAAAGUGUAGAUAGCAGCAAUGGUGACACCCAAUAUUCUCCAUAAAAUAGAAUUAGAAUAAGCAGUGUUACAUUGUUCAUGAUCACCUACAAGCAUACAAGAACUUCCAUGAAUAACUCAUAGCAAUUGCCAACAGGGCGUCGUAGAGACUCAUACAUAGAACACUAUCCACCCAGAGGAAAGGACAAGACCAGUGCGCUGCAGCUCUUAUUUUUCACAUGUAUACCACCACUCGUAAUAACCAAAUUCACUCAGUUGGGAUAGGUGGGAGAUGGUGGUUUGUGGGGUGGCUUGUGGGGAGGAGUUGGAGGAGGCUUUAUUUUCUGAGGCGGCUUGUAUGAGUGUGCAGGAGGAUGCCCGGGAGUGUGACCAUAAUGUGGUGGCUUCUCUCCCGUAGGUGGUUUGCCAAAUGGGCUUGGUGGCUUCUCUCCCUUAGGAGGUUUACCAAUUGGGGUUGGUGGCUUGUGUUCUGGGAGUGGUUUCUCUCCCUUGGUAGGUUUGCCAAUUGGGGUUGGCGGCUUAUGUUCUGGGAGUGGCUUCUCUCCCUUGGGAGGUUUGCUAAUUGGGGUUGGCGGCUUAUGUUCUGGGGGCGGCUUCUCUCCCUUGGGAGGUUUGCCAAUUGGAGUUGGCGGCUUAUGUUCUGGGAGUGGCUUUUCUCCCUUGGGAGGCUUGCCAAUUGGGGUUGGCGGCUUAUGUUCUGGGGGUGGCUUCUCUCCUUUAGGAGGUUUGCCAAUUGGAGUCGGCGGCUUAUGUUCUGGAAGUGGCUUUUUUCCCUUGGGAGGUUUGCCAAUUGGGGUUGGCGGCUUAUGUUCUGGGGGUGGCUUCUCUCCCUUGGGAGGUUUGCCAAUUGGAGUCGGCGGCUUAUGUUCUGGGAGUGGCUUCUCUCCCUUGGGAGGUUUUGUUGGUGGCUUGUGUUCUGGAGAUGGCUUCUCCCCUGGAGGCUUGUGCUCCGGAGGUGGCUUCUGAAAUGGCGGGGGCUUGGGGUAAUGAGCAAGAGAUGGAGUACUG